GAUGAACGCUGGCGGCGUGCCUAAUACAUGCAAGUCGAGCGAACGGACGAGAAGCUUGCUUCUCUGAUGUUAGCGGCGGACGGGUGAGUAACACGUGGAUAACCUACCUAUAAGACUGGGAUAACUUCGGGAAACCGGAGCUAAUACCGGAUAAUAUUUUGAACCGCAUGGUUCAAAAGUGAAAGACGGUCUUGCUGUCACUUAUAGAUGGAUCCGCGCUGCAUUAGCUAGUUGGUAAGGUAACGGCUUACCAAGGCAACGAUGCAUAGCCGACCUGAGAGGGUGAUCGGCCACACUGGAACUGAGACACGGUCCAGACUCGUACGGGAGGCAGCAGUAGGGAAUCUUCCGCAAUGGGCGAAAGCCUGACGGAGCAACGCCGCGUGAGUGAUGAAGGUCUUCGGAUCGUAAAACUCUGUUAUUAGGGAAGAACAUAUGUGUAAGUAACUGUGCACAUCUUGACGGUACCUAAUCAGAAAGCCACGGCUAACUACGUG
rnacentral:rRNA from 1 species